rnacentral:rRNA from 1 species
UACGAAGGGUGCAAACGUUGCUCGGAAUUAUUGGGCGUAAAGCGCACGUAGGCGGCUUAGCAAGUCGGAUGUGAAAUCCCUCGGCUCAACCAAGGAAGUGCAUCCGAAACUGCUGAGCUUGAGUACUUAAGAGGAUCGCGGAAUUCCGGUGUAGAGGUGAAAUUCGUAGAUAUCGGGAGGAACACCAGUGGCGAAGGCGGCGAUCUGGGAAGAUACUGACGCUGAGGUGCGAAAGCGUGGGAG